rnacentral:rRNA from 1 species
GAUGAACGCUAGCGGGAGGCUUAACACAUGCAAGUCGAGGGGCAGCACGAGGUAGCAAUACUUUGGUGGCGACCGGCGCACGGGUGAGUAACGCGUAUGCAACCUACCCUGUACAGGGGGAUAACCCGGAGAAAUUCGGACUAAUACCCCAUAAAGAUAUUUAGAGGCAUCUUUGAAUAUUUAAAGUUCCGGCGGUACGGGAUGGGCAUGCGUAACAUUAGCUAGUUGGUAAGGUAACGGCUUACCAAGGCAACGAUGUUUAGGGGUCCUGAGAGGGUGAUCCCCCACACUGGUACUGAGACACGGAUCAGACUCCUACGGGAGGCAGCAGUGAGGAAUAUUGGUCAAUGGGCGCAAGCCUGAACCAGCCAUCCCGCGUGAAGGAAGAAUGCGCUAUGCGUUGUAAACUUCUUUUCCAGGGGAAUAAAAUUUUGUACGUGUACGGAAUUGAAGGUACCCUGGGAAUAAGCAUCGGCUAACUCCGUGCCAGCCGCCGCUGUAAUAC